GCCUGGUGCAAUGGCUCACACCUGUAAUCCCAGCCCUUUGGGAGGCUGAGGCAGGAGGAUCGCUUGAGCCCAGGAGGUUGAGGCUGCAGUGAGCUGCGUUCACACCACUGCACUCCAACCUGGGCAACAGAGUGAGACCCUGUCUCAA
rfam:Gorilla gorilla gorilla genomic chromosome, chr5, whole genome shotgun sequence